GAGAGAGAAUUUGCGUGGCAGGUGCUGGAGGGGAUGUGACUUCGUGGCUUGUGAAGUUUCUCUUUGCCAGGGUUACAUGGCAAAUACUUUCUCCUCAUCCUCCUCUCUGCUUUUUCAUUUUAAAUCGAGUUACACAGAAAAUAAAAGCUAUCUUUUGUUUGAAUCACCAAGGAAUUUUCAAACUAGUAAUUUAACUCGAUUCUAUUGAUGAAAACCGAACUAUAGAUGAAACAAAUGAGAAACAGAGAAACUCACAGUUAGUGGAGCAGCAGAGAGAUAAGACAUGCUCAAU
rnacentral:misc_RNA from 1 species